GAUGAAGAACGUAGCGAAAUGCGAUAAGUAAUGCGAAUUGCAGAAUUUCCGUGAAUCAUCGAAUCUUUGAACGCACAUUGCGCCCCCUGGUAUUCCGGGGGGCAUGCCUGUCCGAGCGUCAUUACAACCCUCAAGCUCAGCUUGGUAUUGGGCCCCGCCGCUCCGGCGGGCCCUAAAGUCAGUGGCGGUGCCGUCCGGCUCCGAGCGUAGUAAUUCUUCUCGCUCUGGAGGUCCGGUCGUGUGCUCGCCAGCAACCCCCAAUUUUUUUCAGGUUGACCUCGGAUCAGGUAGGGAUACCCGCUGAACUUAAGCAUAUCAAUAAGCGGAGGA
rnacentral:misc_RNA from 1 species